rnacentral:rRNA from 1 species
UAGGGAAUCUUCGGCAAUGGGGGGAACCCUGACCGAGCAACGCCGCGUGAGUGAAGAAGGUUUUCGGAUCGUAAAGCUCUGUUGUUAAGGAAGAACGAGUGUGAGAAUGGAAAGUUCAUACUGUGACGGUACUUAACCAGAAAGGGACGGCUAACUACGUGCCAGCAGCCGCGGUAAUACGUAGGUGGCAAGCGUUAUCCGGAAUUAUUGGGCGUAAAGCGCGCGUAGGCGGUUAGAAAAGUCUGAAGUGAAAGGCAGUGGCUCAACCAUUGUAGGCUUUGGAAACUGUUUAACUUGAGUGCAGAAGGGGAGAGUGGAAUUCCAUGUGUAGCGGUGAAAUGCGUAGAUAUAUGGAGGAACACCGGUGGCGAAAGCGGCUCUCUGGUCUGUAACUGACGCUGAGGCUCGAAAGCGUGGGGAGCGAACAGG